GAUGAACGCUGGCGGCGUGCCUAAUACAUGCAAGUCGAGCGAACAGGCGAGGAGCUUGCUCCUCUGACGUUAGCGGCGGACGGGUGAGUAACACGUGGAUAACCUACCUAUAAGACUGGGAUAACUUCGGGAAACCGGAGCUAAUACCGGAUAAUAUAUUGAACCGCAUGGUUCAAUAGUGAAAGACGGUUUUGCUGUCACUUAUAGAUGGAUCCGCGCCGCAUUAUCUGGUUGGUAAGGUAACGGCUUACCAAGGCAACGAUGCGUAGCCGACCUGAGAGGGUGAUCGGCCACACUGGAACUGAGACACGGUCCAGACUCCUACGGGAGGCAGCAGUAGGGAAUCUUCCGCAAAGGGCGAAAGCCUGACGGAGCAACGCCGCGUGAGUGAUGAAGGUCUUCGGAUCGUAAAACUCUGUUAUUAGGGAAGAACAAAUGUGUAAGUAACUAUGCACGUCUUGACGGUACCUAAUCAGAAAGCCACGGCUAACUACGUG
rnacentral:rRNA from 1 species